AAAUUACCCACUCCCAGCACGGGGAGGUAGUGACGAAAAAUAACGAUACGGGACUCAUCCGAGGCCCCGUAAUCGGAAUGAGUACACUCUAAAUCCUUGUUCAAGGAUCAAUUGGAGGGAAAGUCUGGUGCCAGCAGCCGCGGUAACACCAGCUCCAAUAGCGUAUAUUAAAGUUGUUGCGGUUAAAAAGCUCGUAGUCGAAUUUGUGUCUCGCGCCGCUGGUUCAUCGCUCGCGGUGUUCAACUGGCGUGUUCGCGAGACGUCCUGCCGGUGGCUUUAGAUUGCGUUUACGCCUUCUAGGCCUACUUGUGGUCGCUUCGCGCGGCUGCAAUUCCCAUCGCGGUGCUCUUUAUUGAGUGUCGAGGUGGGCCGGCACAUUUACUUUGAACAAAUUAAAGUGCUUAAAGCAGGCCAAUUUUGCCUGAAUACUGUGUGCAUGGAAUAAUGGAAUAGGACCUCGGUUCUAUUUUGUGGGUUUUCUGAACCCCGAGGUAAUGAUUAAUAGGAACGGAUGGGGGCAUUCGUAUUGCGACGUUAGAGGUGAAAUUCUUGGAUCGUCGCAAGACGGACAUAAGCGAAAGCAUUUGCCAAAAACGUUUUCAUUGAUCAAGAACGAAAGUUAGAGGCUCGAAGGCGAUCAGAUACCGCCCUAGUUCUAACCAUAAACGAUGCCAGCUAGCGAUCCGCCGACGUUCCUCCGAUGACUCGGCGGGCAGCUUCCGGGAAACCAAAGCUUUUGGGUUCCGGGGGAAGUAUGGUUGCAAAGCUGAAACUUAAAGGAAUUGACGGAAGGGUACCACCAGAAGUGGAGCAUGCGGCUUAAUUUGACUCAACACGUGACAUCUAACCAGGCCCAGACACCGGAAGGAUUGACAGAUUGAGAGCUCUUUCUUGAUUCGGUGGGUGGUGGUGCAUGGCCGCUCUUCGUUGUUGAAGUGAUUUGUCUGGUUAAUU
rnacentral:rRNA from 1 species